AUCAAUAUUUACAAUAUAUUUACAAGGUAUCUAAGACGUUAUUAUUAUCCAAUUGUGAUGGAAGCGAUUAAGAAAUUCAUCGUAGCGGAAUUUGCUGAUGGUCUUCAAAUCAUACCUGCAAAAUGGCUAAAUACCUCGAGAAACAAAUGUAUCUGGCCCAGUCAUUACAAAACAAUGCGCCGUUUACAUUCAGCGAUAAUUACAGAAGAGCUGCCUAAAGAUGAAACUGACUGGGAUAAAUUACUCAUAAAAAGAAUCUUUGGAAGCGCAGACACUUAUGAAAAAGCCAUGGAGAAAUUAACACUAGCGCAAGAUACAUCAAAUGUAGAUACUGGGUUGUCAUCUGACGAAUUAAAACAGCGCAACAAAAAAAGGAGGCGUGAGAAGGCUAAACGAAAAUUGUCCUCUUCAUUGGAAGAUGAUUUACUUUGUUUUACUGAAAAUAAAGAAAAUUAUCCACACGGGAAUAAACAGCUACCACCAUUUCCUGAAUUGGACAAGUUUACACAGAAAAAACAAAAAUCUUAGCCACAGCAAAAUCUUGUUCAUUAUGAGGUAAAUAAUAAUUAAACUAACUAGUUUUAAUAUAUAAUACUUUAAGUCUUUAAGAGAUACUGCAUUUUUAUUUGUGAAAAUAAUAUUUUUUUAUAGGCCAACGCAAGCACGAGUGCACUAACUGAAGCAGAAAAGUGUACAAGUACCAAACAAAUUAGUAACAACCAAGAGGAACGAACAAAUAAAAAUGCUGUGAUUAAUGGUAAUUCUUCUAGAAUAGAUAAUAUCUAUCUCUUAUAAAUGCAAAAAGUAAAGGAAUACUAUUUAUUUAAAAUUCAUAUUUUUAUCGUUUAUCAUUAUUGGAGUGCGAGACUUUGUGGUGUCGGUGAGCCGGGCCUUACCCCUAUCACGACCGGCAAUGUCGCGGAUAGCAGCGGCGCACAUGCGCUGCUUGUGGAGGGGAGAACGCCGCGUGCGUGACCUACCUCACUCUCUCGUCGUUCGUAUCGGGACGUGUUCGUAUCGGUACUCUGUACGAUUGAAGUAUUUUUGUGUUAAGUGUUAAAGAGGAAUAAAGAGUAUAGAGAAACCACAUGCAGGAUCUUUUUCGCAGCACACCCUCGAAACCUAAUAUCCUUCAAUCAUAUCAGACCAUGAUAUUUAAGACCGCAGUUUAAUAUUAUCACAUAUUAUUAUUACAAUAAAUAAUUUAUUCUUACACAAAUGUUUUUUUAGUUCCUUUAGAGUUUCAGAAACAAGUUGUGUCAAAACUAAAUAAAUUGAUUUACAAGUUAAGUACAAUAGAAAAUCGCCUAGAUGAAUUAAAAGAACACGAAUUGUCUGAAACUUAUCAAACUGAUUGUACUGAAUUAGAAUCUUGGCUCCCUGUAAAAACUCUAGAAGAACUUACAAAAUUCGAAGAAAAAUUAAAAGAAACACAUUUUAAAAAUCAAUUGGUAAGAUGUACACAUAAUAUUAAAACUUGCUGGUAAUAUUUAUUUAAUGUUUAUAUUAUUUGUUUUUCUUUUUUAGUUGAAUACCUUAAAACUUCUUGGAGGAACAUCAACUCAUGUAAUGAUAGGCAAUGUAAUGAAAAAAAUACUAACCAACGAAUUGUCGGUUAAAUUUAGUUGGGCCGGGAUGAAGGGAAAACAAGCAUUUAAGAACCAGAGUUUGAUGAAAAUUAUUAUGCGUACGUUUUCUAUUUUUCAUUAGAUAUUUUUAUAUAAAAAACGUUACCAUUUUGUCUCUUUUCUCAAUUUUGAAAUAUUUAUUUACGUCGACAAAUUAUUUUUCAGAAUCAGUUCGACUAGUACCGCAAUACAGUCAAAUAUUGGACUCGGAAUUAACAGAAAUAAUGGCAAAAUGGCUGGCCAUUAUGGUUGCAAAGAGAAAGAAAACGUACUUCAAUGGAUCAUUGAAACUGAAAAAGAAAUAUGCAGCUAGAAUCCUGAUUUUGUUUAAAACAUUUACGUUUUUUCCUAUAAAUUUUAUAUACAUGUAAUAUUUUAUAUGAGAUUUUGGACAUCAAUAAAUUUAAAAAGAAAAAAAAAAUUUUAAUACAAUAGAAAUAUUAUUUUUACUGUUUGUUGCAAAUACAUUCCCCUGCAACAUAAAUGCAAUAUUGCAAAGCAAUAUUACCAAAGCGGACAUUUUUUCUUUGUCACAAUAUUGCUGCAACGUUGCAGCUACAUUGUGCAAUCACUCUGCAAUAUUACAAUAUUGCGGUGCAAUAUUUCUGCAAUCUUUCUGCAAUCUUUCUGUGCUAUAUGGGAUUAUAUGUUUUUAAAUACAAUUAGAUCAAAUUUUUAAUGGGUUCCAUUUAAUGAAUCACAUUUUUGUGGUAAAUAUGGUAAAUUAAAAUAGAUUUUUAUGAAUAAAAGAUUAUUUACUUAUACUUGUAUUCAUUUACAUAAAC
rnacentral:misc_RNA from 1 species